rfam:TPA: Bos taurus chromosome 19, whole genome shotgun sequence.
UCCCUGUUGGCUCAGAAGGUGAAGAAUCUGCCUGCAAUGCAGGAGACCUGGGUUCGAUCCCUGGGUUGGGAA